UUCGGGACACGGGGAGACAGGUGGUGCAUGGUUGUCGUCAGCUCGUGUCGUGAGAUGUUGGGUUAAGUCCCGCAACGAGCGCAACCCUUAUCCUUAGUAGCCAGCACGUCAUGGUGGGCACUCUAGGGAGACUGCCAGGGAUAACCUGGAGGAAGGUGGGGAUGACGUCAAAUCAUCAUGCCCCUUAUGAUUUGGGCUACACACGUGCUACAAUGGCGUAAACAAAGGGAGGCGACCCUGCGAAGGUAAGCAAAUCCCAAAAAUAACGUCCCAGUUCGGACUGUAGUCUGCAACCCGACUACACGAAGCUGGAAUCGCUAGUAAUCGCGGAUCAAAAUGCCGCGGUGAAUACGUUCCCGGGUCUG
rnacentral:rRNA from 1 species